rnacentral:rRNA from 1 species
UACGGGGGGGGCAAGCGUUGUUCGGAAUUACUGGGCGUAAAGGGCGCGUAGGCGGGUGGACAAGUCUCUCGUGAAAGCCCACGGCUCAACCGUGGAAUUGCGGGAGAUACUGUCUGUCUUGAGUCCGGGAGAGGAGGGUGGAAUUCCCAGUGUAGCGGUGAAAUGCGUAGAUAUUGGGAGGAACACCGGUGGCGAAGGAGGCUCUCUGGACCGGUAUUGACGUUGAGGCGCGAAAGCUAGGGGAGCAAACGGG